ACGGGUGCGUAACGCGUGGGAAUCUGCCCUCUGGUUCGGAAUAACUCAGGGAAACUUGAGCUAAUACCGGAUAAUGUCUUCGGACCAAAGAUUUAUCGCCUGAGGAUGAGCCCGCGUCGGAUUAGCUAGUUGGUGGGGUAAAAGCCUACCAAGGCGACGAUCCGUAGCUGGUCUGAGAGGAUGAUCAGCCACACUGGGACUGAGACACGGCCCAGACUCCUACGGGAGGCAGCAGUAGGGAAUAUUGGACAAUGGGCGAAAGCCUGAUCCAGCAAUGCCGCGUGAGUGAUGAAGGCCUUAGGGUUGUAAAGCUCUUUUACCCGGGAUGAUAAUGACAGUACCGGGAGAAUAAGCCCCGGCUAACUCCGUGCCAGCAGCCGCGGUAAUACGGAGGGGGCUAGCGUUGUUCGGAAUUACUGGGCGUAAAGCGCACGUAGGCGGCUUUGCAAGUCAGAGGUGAAAGCCCGGGGCUCAACCCCGGAAUUGCCUUUGAGACUGCAUCGCUAGAAUUGUGGAGAGGUAAGUGGAAUUCCGAGUGUAGAGGUGAAAUUCGUGGA
rnacentral:rRNA from 1 species